rnacentral:rRNA from 1 species
AACGAACGCUGGCGGCAGGCUUAACACAUGCAAGUCGAACGAAGUCUUCGGACUUAGUGGCGGACGGGUGAGUAACACGUGGGAACGUGCCUUUAGGUUCGGAAUAACUCAGGGAAACUUGUGCUAAUACCGAAUGUGCCCUUCGGGGGAAAGAUUUAUCGCCUUUAGAGCGGCCCGCGUCUGAUUAGCUAGUUGGUGAGGUAAAGGCUCACCAAGGCUACGAUCAGUAGCUGGUCUGAGAGGAUGACCAGCCACAUUGGGACUGAGACACGGCCCAAACUCCUACGGGAGGCAGUAGUGGGGAAUCUUGCGCAAUGGGCGAAAGCCUGACGCAGCCAUGCCGCGUGAAUGAUGAAGGUCUUAGGAUUGUAAAAUCCUUUCACCGGUGAAGAUAAUGACUGUAGCCGGAGAAGAAGCCCCGGCUAACUUCGUGCCAGCCGCCGCCGUAAAAC